rnacentral:lncRNA from 1 species
ACAGGCUGAAAGAAUUGUUGACAAAAGGAAAAAUAAGAAGGGAAGACAGAGUAUUUGGUUUGAUGGAAGGGCUAUGACAGUGAGGAUCACACUUGGAAACCAGAGUGCCAUCUCGUGAAACAUGAGGAAUGCAGACACCACGUCAAAAAGCAGAAAGAGAGCACACUGACCAGAACAAAUAGCACUCUCCAAACAAUGCUAGGAAAUAAAUCUCCAGAUCCACCAACAGAAGCUUUGAUAAGACCUCUCCUAAGUCACUAGAGAUUGGCAAACACUAUGAGUCUAAAAACAGCCAGUUGUUUGCUGCUACCCAGAAGUUCAGGAAAAACACAGCUCCAUCUCUCUCUAGCUGGAAGAAUAUUGACCUAGCAAAGUCAAGUAUCAAGAUAUUUGUGUUUAUGAGCCCCAUUAAGAGCAGGACCACAGAGAAUGGCUUUCAGAACAAGAGCCCCCAGAAACUGGACCCUGUUGAGCAGGGUCAGGAGAAUAUGGUGGUGACUGAAUAGCCAGUUGGAGCUAUAGAAUAGCGGCUGGAGAAUAGUAAGUUGGAGCUUUAUUGGACCCCUGUGCAUAGAGCAGGUCAGGAUGGGAAACAGGCCCUGAAUACACCCACUAGUGCCUCAGGUGUCUGGCCCCAUGACUACAGCCAUGACCAGGGCCCUAGUUGUUAAUGGGAAAGGUACGAGGCAGAGGUUGCAGUGAGCUGAGAUGGCACCACAGUAUUCCAGCCUGGGCAACAGAGUGAGACUCUGUCUCAAAAAAAAAAAAAAAAAAAAAAAAGAGAAAUCCAAAGUGCUUUGAGCACAGCCGCUGCUGAAAACAGCAAGCUUAUGCUACUCAGUGCCAUUGGCAGUGCCUUCUGUUGUGCACUUGACUUUAUUUAUUUUAUAUAGCAUUCAACAAAUGACAGCAAAAGAGAAAGCACUAGAACAGCAGAAGCUACCAGAAACUUUGUGAAUACUUUCAUACAGUUUCAGAAAUCUAUUAUUGUAGUAGUCAAUGGCCCAGCCAUUAGGCUAAGCGCAUCUAUAUUGCCUCUUUGCAAUGUGGUCUGUACUAAUGAAAAGGCUUGGUUUCCACCGCUCUUUACUAUCUUUGGACAGAAUCCAGAUGGCUGUUCUACCAUUGUUUCCUAAAGUAAUGGAAGGGGCAUUUGCAAAUGAGAUAUUGCUCAGUGGGCAGAAGAUGACCACACAGGAAGCCUGUGGUAAAGGUCUGGUAGCCCAGGUAUUUUGGCCCGGGACCUUCACCCAGGAAGUUAUGAUUUGAAUUACGGAGUUUGCCUCAUGUAAUCCAGUUGUGCUUGAGGAAUCCGAAGCCCUUGUGUGCCGCAACAUGAAGAUGGAGUUGGAGCAGGCCAAUGAGAGGGAGUGCAAAGUGCUGAAGAAAAUCUGGGGCUUGGCCAAACUGAUGGACUCCAUGUUAAAGUGCUUGCAGAGGAAAAUUGAUGAGUUGUGA